rnacentral:rRNA from 1 species
CCUACGGGUGGCAGCAGUGAGGAAUAUUGGUCAAUGGACGAGAGUCUGAACCAGCCAAGUAGCGUGAAGGAUGACUGCCCUAUGGGUUGUAAACUUCUUUUAUGAGGGAAUAAAACGAGGCACGUGUGGCUUUUUGCAUGUACUUUAUGAAUAAGGAUCGGCUAACUCCGUGCCAGCAGCCGCGGUAAUACGGAGGGUCCGGGCGUUAUCCGGAUUUAUUGGGUUUAAAGGGAGCGUAGGUGGCUUGUUAAGCCAGUUGUGAAAGGUUGCGGCUCAACCGUAAAACUGCAAUUGAUACUGGCAGUCUUGAGUACAGCUGAGGUAGGCGGAAUUCGUGGUGUAGCGGUGAAAUGCUUAGAUAUCACGAAGAACCCCGAUUGCGAAGGCAGCUUACUAAACUGUGACUGACGCUGAUGCUCGAAAGUGUGGGUAUCAAACAGGAUUAGAUACCCGUGUAGUC